GGGAUUGUAGUUCAAUUGGUCAGAGCACUGCCCUAUUAAGGCGAAAGCUGCGGGUUCGAGCCCCAUCAGUCUCG
rfam:Gossypium hirsutum cultivar TM-1 chromosome 22, whole genome shotgun sequence